CCCUACUUUGAAUCAUUGUAGUGAAGAAUAUAUGCAUCAAGGUUACUCACCUCCUUUCCUUGUUUCCUUUUACUUACCAUGGCUAGGAUUUGUUUUCCUCAAGAGAGACCAUACAUGCACAUAUUUUUUGAUUAGGACUUUUCCUAGCUUUCAGAGUGACUUGCCCUUACCUUGAAGUACUUUAUUCAGGCUUUUGCACUUAGAUCUUGCUUGAACAAGUCACCAACCUAUUGAGAUGAAAGUUUAUAUUUUCAGUUGGUCACUUGUCCAAGUGGCUACUAGCUCUGUUCAUAGUCUUUUG
rnacentral:lncRNA from 1 species